GGCCAGCUGCACAACAGUAACACUGUGCUAUGCUUCGAGAUGUCAUGGGAAAAACCUUUCGACUUCUGGGGUAUACCAUUCAAUAUGGCUGCAUAGCACACUGUGCCUUUGAGUACCUUGGAGGAAUUGUUGUGUGUUCUGGACCUUCAAUGGAACCAACAAUUCAAAAUUCUGACAUUGUCUUUUCGGAGAAUCUUAGCCGCCAUUUUUAUUGCAUUCAGAAAGGUGAUAUUGUAAUUGCAAAAAGCCCAAAUGACCCAAAAUCAAAUAUCUGUAAAAGAGUAAUUGGCUUGGAAGGAGACAAAGUCUGUAUAAGCAGUCCUUCAGAUUUCCGUAAGAGUCACAGUUAUAAUAUUCUUCUUGGAGGGCAGUCCAAAGCCUGGGCUCAGAGCAAAGAUUUGGUCUGCCUUCAGUUGCUAUGGAGACAGGAACACUCAUUGACGUGGAAGGUUUAUAAAGAAAAUUCACAGAUGAUUCCACCUUUGUUCCUGUUGUACAUAGCACAUUACUCCUCAGCUGUUCCCACAGAAAUCAAUACAGGCACCUCAUACACAAAACAGAAUUGAAGUCGAGGAGACUACUUGAAUGCUUUGGAAGCAGUCACUCUGGGUUCCCCACAGAAGGGUGGUCCUGGUCCCAAGCUGGCUGUCAAUCUUUGUUCUGCCUCCAGCCAACAGGAAGAAUUACUAGUAUAUUACCCUAUAAUACAGACUGUCACAUAUGGAGGGUAUUAAAAAGAUUGAGAAUAAGAAGGAAAUCUUCCUAUUGCGGUAUCCUCAUCUCAAUUAAAGAAUUAAAAGAUAUGGCCUCUGAAUGAUUUUGGAUUUCUGCGUGCUAGCCCCAAUGGUCACAGAUUUUUGGAUGAUUAAGAGAACUAAUAAGUGAAUUCUGCCAACUUACUUAACUGUCUUACAAUGCUUUAAUAGCUUUUUUUACUGAUUGAAUGAAACGAUGUAUUUGUAUUUACAAUAAUAAACAUUGUGACUUUUUGA